ACGGAAGGCAGCAGUGAGGAAUAUUGGUCAAUGGGCGGAAGCCUGAACCAGCCAAGUCGCGUGAGGGAAGACGGCCCUACGGGUUGUAAACCUCUUCUGCGCGGGGGUAAAGUCGGGGACGGGUCCCCGAUUGCAAGUACCGCGCGAAAAAGGAUCGGCUAACUCCGUGCCAGCAGCCGCGGUAAUACGGAGGAUCCGAGUGUUAUCCGGAUUUAUUGGGUUUAAAGGGAGCGUAGGCCGUGCUUUAAGCGUGUUGUGAAAUGUAGGCGCCCAACGUCUGCACUGCAGCGCGAACUGGAGCACUUGAGUACGCAGGAAGUAGGCGGAAUUCGUCGUGUAGCGGUGAAAUGCUUAGAUAUGACGAAGAACUCCGAUUGGGAAGCCAGCUUACUGUAGCGCCACUGACGCUGAUGCUCGAAAGCGUGGGUAUCGAACAGGAUUAGAUACCCUGGUA
rnacentral:rRNA from 1 species